GUGCCUUAAUAUAACUCGAAAAGCAAAGUUUCGCGAUGCCGGAUAGGAGUGGUGGAUUCUUGGAGAAAAUCUGGGAUCCAGAAUCCUGCCAUCAAGUUCAGUCAAUGUAAAGCCUUAACAUUGCUAAGAAGCAUUAAAAAAAAAAAAAAUUUCUUUUAUAUUAUUAAAAAAAAUUUUUUACUAGAAAAUAAAAAUUUAUUGCUCCUGUGAAUAAAAAAACAAAAAUUAUUUAUUUUUUUAUUUAAAAAAUUAGUGCAAAAAAAUUGCAAUUUUUUAGAAAUUUUCAUGUUGUAACUGUAGUGAGGAAGAAUAUCGUUAUUUCGUCGAAUUAUUUGUAUUAUUAUAACAAAAAUGGUGGGGUCAAUGGUAACGCCAAAAAGAAAAAGUUCCAUUAAAAUGCCAUCGCCAGCGCAUGAGACACAAAAUAUUCUCACGACAUAUUUGAUUCUAAUAUUAUUGCUGAUAUCACUCUAUCUACUCUAUUCAGGAUUAUUUUAGUUCAAGGAUUUUUUUUCGUUAUGGGUUAAGUUAUGAUGUUCAGUGAAUGGAAAGCUUGUCUUUUGCCAAGAGAUGAACAUCAGAGGGAAAGACCUCAAAAGAGGUGAAGAGAUUAUAAUCGUCAUCAUCAAUCAUCAUCAAAAUAUAUUUUAUUUUAUAAGGGAGUUUUAAAAAAUCAAAAAAAAAAUCCAAUUAAAUAGCCUUUAUAUAAUAUAAAUAUAUGAUAAUGACCAAUUACCAUAGUAUAUUCAUAGAGAGAGAGAGAAAAAAAAUAUUAUAUUUUAAUAGAUAUAUAUGUUGUAAUAUUGUUAUAAUAAAAAAAUAUAUACGAGCAGUUUGAAAAAAAAAAUUUAAUAAAAUUCUUCUUUUU